GCCCGGGUGGCGGAAUUGGCAGACGCGACGGACUCAAAAUCCGUUUUCUUCGGAAGUGCGGGUUCGACCCCCGCCCCGGGUACCA
rnacentral:tRNA from 1 species